ensembl:lncRNA
AUGAAAUUUAACCUGAUUUCCCCCCCCCCGAUGUUGCAGCAUUUUCAUUUCUUAAUUUUAGAAAUUUACUCUGAUUUCAAACAUUAUUCAUUGAUUCCAACUUGGGGAGAAAAACUAGAGUGCAGCAUUAAUGAGAUGAAUCUGCCUGAUGUAAGUUCUCUCUUGAAGUAUAAUAUAUAUAGCAUAUAUUUAGUGUAUAAUUCAAGGAUUUCCAGCCAUUCUCUGUCACAGCUGGGGAUUAUGUUCCAUCUAAAAAAAAGAAAAGAGACCAGUACACGCAGUCAACUUAGUGAUGUGUGUUCCUUCCUGCUGACACCACCUGUGAUUCUUAUUCUCAGGUCCGGUCCCUCCAGACUGAUGGGCCACUCAGCUGUGGCCUACAAGGAUAGCAUGCUGCUUUUCGGGGGUGGCGAGAGCCAGAAUUCGCCAAAGAACUGCCUGUGGAGGUACAACUUCAACAAUCAGACCUGGGGGCAGGUGGCCACACUCCCAGGCUCUAGCCCCCCGGACAAGAUUCACCACUGCUGCACUGGGCUGGGUCCAAGCUACAAGUCGGACACCAGCAGCCCCUCCUCCAACUCAGGACGCCAACCCAGGCUACUGGAGGACAAGGCCUUCAGACCCUUCAAGAACAAGUGUUUCCCUGCACCUCUCACGUUUCUAGGAUCAGAGGGCGACAUCGAGCUGGAGACGUUCAGCCUGGACAAGUGCUACGGUAGCAAAACACUCACACAGCUGGAGAAAAGCAAAGAGGGCUCGACGGGGAAAGAGGAGCCGCAGGUCAGAUACUGUUUGACCUUUGAGAACAAAGCUUUCAGCAAACAGUGGAGCUGCACAGAGGAGGACUUGCUCAAUGAGGACGAUAGUGACAUAGUUCAGCACCUGCCCGAUCUGCUGCUGGUGCUUGGAGGAAGACCUUGCACCAGUCUUGGCCCCAUGUCCAUAUGGCAAAUGACUCUCACUGACUCAGAACAGCCAGUGAAGAACAAACUGACUUUUUUCACGAACUUCCAUCAGCUGAAGCUCAGUGUGAAUCUCAGGAGAUGGAUCAGGUUCAGUGAUUUCAAACAGUUGCAGCCCAUCACAUGCAACCAGCCAGGACAAAGAAUAUCAAAAAGGAGUAUUACUUAACCCCAACCCCUUGUACACCUUUGGUUAAUGAUUAUGUAAUAGAUUUGGGGUUUUUUCCACACAGCAUGUGGGAUUCGUCAACUAUGAGAAAAAUAUAAGAUGAUAACAUCAUCUAUAAGGUUGUCUUAAGGUUAACUCAUCGUGCGACUGAAAUCAUCAUUGCCUACUGUUUUGAGCUCAUUCCAGCUCAGGAAAUAUUCAGAUACAAUUUCUUUUUCUUUACUUGGUCUCCCUGGAAAACACUACAAUUCAAAGUUCUAGUGGAGGGAAAAUUAACAGAGUUUAUUUAGAAAUUACACAGUAAAGUCAGCUCAAUAACUUACUAACACAACUAACAUCUGCUUUACUGUCAUUUUCUAUCUGAUGACUUUCAGUAUGUAAACCUGUUUAAUGUGUGCGCUUCAUUUGGUCUGUUGACUGGCAUCACUGCUCCAAAUAUGACCUAUUACACAUUCUGAGAGUGUAAAUGCAUAAUGCUGACUGCAUUAAUGUAAUAUACUGUGAUCUCCCGUAUUGCUGUGAUAAACUUGUGUUUAAUAAAGUCUUUCUAACUAUUUAUUUUGUUAUUGUUGUUGGGAUUAUGACGUCAUUAUAUUACAAAUAGAGAGUGGUUCUCAACUUUUUGAAAGUAAGCAAUAUCUCAUCGGCGAGAUUGAUCCAAAGAGUGGAGGCCUAACAGCUGGGACUGUGGGAUGGCGAGGACAUCAGGUCACGAGUGGGCACAUGUUAUUAAAUCUAUCUAUCUAUCUUAGAGCUGCAACAGUUAAUCGAUUAAUCGAUUAGUAAUCGACUCCUGGAUUAAUAAUCGAUUAAUUGGUUCAACCAGUUUUUAUGAAGAAAAAAAUUCUCUGAUUUCAGCUUGUUAAAUGUUAAUAUUUUUUUGUUUCUUUUGCUCCUCUGUGACAGUCAACUGAAUAUCUUUGGUGUGUGGACAAAACAAAACAUCAUCUUGGGCUUUUGGGAACCACGAUAGAUCGACAGAAAAUCAACAGUUGAUAAUGAAAAUAAUCAUUAGUUGCAGCCCUAAUCUAUCUAUCUAUCUAUCCAUCUAUAUUCCUAUCUUAUAUCUAUCUAUCUAUUUAUCUAUCUAUCCAUCCAUCUAUCCGUCCGUCCGUCUGUCUGUCUGUCUAUCUAUCUAUCUUUCUCUGUCUGUCUGUUUAUCCAUCUAUCUAUCUAUAUCAAUCUAUCUAUCUAUCCGUCUAUCUGUCUGUCUGUCUGUCUGUCUGUCUGUCUGUUUGUCCGUCCGUCCGUCCGUCCGUCCAUCCAUCCAUCCAUCAAUUUAUAUCUAUUUUUCCAUCUAUCCGUCCGUCUGUCUGUCUGUCUGUCUGUCUCUCUGUCUAUCUAUCUAGCCAUCCAUCUAUCUAUCUAUAUCUAUAUCUAUAUAUCUAUCUAUCUGUCUGUCUGUCUGUCUGUCUGUCUGUCUGUCUGUCUGUCCGUCCGUCCAUCCAUCCAUCUAUCUAUAUCUAUCUUUCCAUCUAUCCGUCCGUCUGUCUGUCUGUCUGUCUGUCUGUCUGUCUGUCUGUCUAUCUAUCUAUCUAUCUAUCUAUCUAUCUGUCUGUCUGUCUGUCUGUCUAUCUAUCUAGCCAUCCAUCUAUCUAUCUUUAUCUAUAUCUAUCUAUCUAUCCAUCUAUCUGUCUGGCUGUCUGUCCGUCCAUCCGUCCGUCCAUCCAUCUAUCUAUCUAUCUAUUCUGUAGUGCCCUAUAAAUUAAAUUUUAUUAUUAUUAUUAUUAUUAUUAUUAUUAUUAUUAUUAUUAUUAUUAUUAUAUUAUUAUUAUCUAUCUAACUGUCUAUCUAGUCUCGUUGAUGGAACUGCAGUGUGUAAUGACAGGUUUCCAUCGGUAGAUGGCGCCAUUUGUUCGAUCAUCUAGAUAACAACCAGCCAUGAACUCAUUUGACCGAAGUCCCCUAUUUUAUUUACGACUUUAUCCCUUAGAUCCCUUACAUUUUUUUUUUACAUCACUUAUCUUUUAAAUUCUCAUAUUUUAUACUCUUAAUCUGAAAUAUUCUGUUUUGAUUAGUUUGAACGAUUUUCAUAACCCCAAU